rnacentral:rRNA from 1 species
UACGAGGGGGGCAAGCGUUAUUCGGAGUUACUGGGCGUAAAGCGCGUGUAGGCGGUCCGGUAAGUCCGCUGUGAAAGUCGGGGGCUCAACCCUCGGAUGCCGGUGGAUACUGUCGGGCUUGAGUACGGAAGAGGCGAGUGGAAUUCCUGGUGUAGCGGUGAAAUGCGCAGAUAUCAGGAGGAACACCAAUUGCGAAGGCAGCUCGCUGGGACGUUACUGACGCUGAGACGCGAAAGCGUGGGGAGCAAACAGG